UGAUAAUUAGUUUAAACUAAAAUAAAUGAUUUCGACUCAUUAGACU
rnacentral:tRNA from 1 species